GAUGAACGCUGGCGGCGUGCCUAAUACAUGCAAGUCGAGCGAACAUACGAGGAGCUUGCUCCCCUGACGUUAGCGGCGGACGGGUGAGUAACACGUGGAUAACCUACCUAUAAGACUGGGAUAACUUCGGGAAACCGGAGCUAAUACCGGAUAAUAUAUUGAACCGUAAGGUUCAAUAGUGAAAGACGGCUUUGUUGUCACUUAUAGAUGUAUCCGCGCCGCAUUAGCUAGUUGGUAAGGUAACGGCUUACCAAGGCAACGAUGCGUAGCCGACCUGAGAGGGUGAUCGGCCACACUGGAACUGAGACACGGUCCAGACUCCUACGGGAGGCAGCAGUAGGGAAUCUUCCGCAAUGGGCGAAAGCUUGACGGAGCAACGCCGCGUGAGUGAUGAAGGUCUUCGGAUCGUAAAACUCUGUUAUUAGGGAAGAACGAAUGUGUAAGUAACUAUGCACGUCUUGACGGUACCUAAUCAGAAAGCCACGGCUAACUACGUG
rnacentral:rRNA from 1 species